CGGCAAGGCAACCUAGUUGGGUUACCUUGUCUUUUGUGGAGGUUUUGUUCCUUUGCUCUUUGCAAUAAAUUUUGCUGCUGCUAAGUAGUUGGGUCCGUGGUGCUUUAAAGAGCUGUAACACUCACUGCGGAGGUCUGCAGUUUCACUCCUGAAGCUAGUGAGACCAGGAGCCUGCCAGAAGGAAAAAACUCUGGACAUGUUCAAACAUCGGAAGGAACAAAUUCCAGACACACUAUCUUUAAGAACUGUAACACUCAACCGUGAGGGUCCGCGGAUUCAUUCUUGAAGUCAGUGAGACCAAGAACCCACCAAUUCCGGACACACCUGGAAUUCUUUGGAAGGCUGAAGCAAGAGGAUCAUUUGAGGCCAGGAGUUUGAGAAAUUCUAUGUGAUAUAAAGCAGAUGCAUAAAAUUUGCCCACAUCUGCAACUUACUUAUAAAAUGUUUUUUUCAAGAGACUGGAACUUCUAGUGCAUAAAUACAGUUUGGGUUUAAAAACCCAGAAUCCUGAAAAAAAUGGCUCUACUUAAAAAACGACUGUUUUUGGUAGUUGAACAGUAAUUUAAAGGGCUCUUCAGUGACGUUAGAAAUCAUUAAAUCCAAUUCUUUCCUUUUAAAUGUAAGGAAGCUGUUGAAGAAAAGUCCCAUGCUGUGUUUUAUGUUUUGAAGCCGAGGCCAAAUGUGGAGAUGGCAUAACCAGAAGAGGGAACGAACUGGCCUGGAUGUGACUCAUGCUUGGAAGGGAGCUGUCUGGAAGGACCACAGUACCUGCAGCCAAC
rnacentral:lncRNA from 10 species